rnacentral:rRNA from 1 species
GACGAACGCUGGCGGCGUGCUUAACACAUGCAAGUCGAACGGAAAGGCCCUGCUUUUGUGGGGUGCUCGAGUGGCGAACGGGUGAGUAACACGUGAGUAACCUGCCCUUGACUUUGGGAUAACUUCAGGAAACUGGGGCUAAUACCGGAUAGGAGCUCCUGCUGCAUGGUGGGGGUUGGAAAGUUUCGGCGGUUGGGGAUGGACUCGCGGCUUAUCAGCUUGUUGGUGGGGUAGUGGCUUACCAAGGCUUGGACGGGUAGCCGGCCUGAGAGGGUGACCGGCCCCAUGGGGAUGGGGAAACGGCCCGGACGCCUACGGGCGGAAGCGGUGGGAAAUUUUGCACAAUGGGCGGAGGCCGGAUUCAGCAACGCCGGGUCGGGAAUGACGGCCUUCGGGUUGGAAACCGCUUUCGCGUGUGACGAAGCGUGAUGACGGGAAAUGGGUAAAGAGGCACGGCUAACUUCGUG